CACGUAGGGUGCGAGCGUUGUCCGGAAUUAUUGGGCGUAAAGAGCUCGUAGGCGGUGUGUCGCGUCGGCCGUGAAAACCUGCAGCUUAACUGUGGGCUUGCGGUCGAUACGGGCAUCACUGGAGUUCGGCAGGGGAGACUGGAAUUCCUGGUGUAGCGGUGAAAUGCGCAGAUAUCAGGAGGAAACACCGGUGGCGAAGGCGGGUCUCUGGGCCGAUACUGACGC
rnacentral:rRNA from 1 species